AACAAGGAGGAGGCAUUCUGGAUCUUGUUUGAAUGUUUGUGUUUUUGCAUGGUGCAGAUUUUUGGGAGGAUUUGUAGAUGCAGCAAAAACUCAGUGGAUAAUGUUUAUAGGACUUUUGAGCUGUUUGGAGUGAUUUUAAUAAGGAACACGUCUGUUUUCAAUGCAGAACCUCCUCAGAGGAAGACAAGCGUAGUCCAUUAGUUCACUUUGCAUGACGGGAUGUUGUCAUAUUUACCAAAUCAUCCAAAUCAUCCAAAUAAAUCCUUGCAGCAAAAUAUUUAAUAUGAAGUUGUUGGAAUCACAUUUUUACCUGAGAUACCUCAUAACGGAUUUUUUUUUCCUACGUUAGAGCAAUUUGGAGACCACCACAGUAUACACAUGCCACAGUAUAUGCAUAUACUGUGGCAAAGGUAAAGGCAGCUUUACCUUUGAACAAGCCAAAGGUAAAGCUGCUCACAUUGUAGCUGCAAAGAAGAAAACAUUUUAUUACUUUUUUUAUGGUUUUUGGCAAGGAAGCACAUACAAUUCAAAAACAUUGUUCAGGGUCUUCUGUAACUGAUUACGGAUCGGCACCUUUGCCAGAACAAAGGGCGGACCUGCUGGCUCAUCAAACACUGCUGAGAAUAAAAAAGAAAAGAGCCACACCCAUCCUACCGCUCAAGUCUACAAAUUGUUGCAGUCAUUUACACACUUGGACCAUGUCUAAAAAGUGGGCAGAACUCACAAUUUAACCUUUUUGUUGUUAUUCUCCUGGGUCUAAUCAGCUCCACAUUCCUUAGACCAGCUGAUUUGAUCCUUUCUAAAGAUAAAAACAUGUUAAAGAAGCGCGUGAAAUAAGAUUGCAUUAGAGCUAAAUGAGAUACAAGGGAAGAAUUAAUUUCUUUUUUUUUUACUUUGACUGGAGGGGAUGGUUCCAUCUUACCAAAGCCAGAGUGCUAAUAUGAGAGACAUGUCUGUUUGUUUUGAAAUGUUAUGAAAGGACCCGUCUGUUUGGCUUUGCCGACUGUCGUCAAGGUAACCAACAUUCCCCGGAGUGCUGCUCAUGUUAAUUGUUUUAUUCCUCCCACCGUCCUCCUCUCGCUGCUGGCCACAGACACAAUCAAGCGAGUGUGGACAGACUCACCAGUGAGAAUGGCCUCUCUCGGUCCUCCUCUGCCUGUCCUCCUUCCGUCGCCGUGUUUUCCCGUCUCUGUGCCUCUCGUGUUUGAUUAAUCUCUCCCAUCCUGGACCUCUUCUCUCACCCAUCCCUUGUGGUCGCAGAACAGCUGUUAGGCGAAAUGAGAUAACCGAGGAGGUCUUUGGAGAAAUGAUUUGCUGUGAAAUCUUUGGAUGACCUUGAGCCAAGUCCACCACUCACUGCAAGGCAGGAUAAUAAAAGUGCUGGCAGGCGUAUUUGACAUCUAGCGUUUAUUUCCUCUUAUAAAAGCCUGUUAACACUCGUUCAGUUGCAGUCAAAGGAAAUGAGCUUUUUCAUGUAUGUGGAGUUUUUGCUUUCCUCCAUCCUGCAGUAAGCCACAUGCUGUCAUUUUGCCAGGCCUUGUGUUGCCAUGUAAAAGCACAGCAGAUUUCCCACAGUAAUAGUGUUUAUGAUAGCAUGCAGCAGCUAGAGAGAAACGUUACAGGGUAAAUAGGUUGCAGCCAUGUACUCACUUCAUGUUAUGCACACCACACAAUGAAUGCAGAUAAUGCAAAGUUCCCAUACAACAGAGUGUUAACAAUUAACCCCCCACUGAGAAAUGAAGUUAUGGGUCCCGGCUGGAUCAGGACUGAGGUAAAUCAUUGAAAGACGAACCCUUUAUUAGAUUUGCUUUUAUUAUUUUUCUCAUGAGGUGUCUAAUUUCACAACACUGCAUUCAAAUUUAUCCAUUAAAAUGGACAGUAUUAUGUACUUUCUGGGCACAUAGAGCCACUUCAUUUCACAGUAAAGUAACUGUUACAUUCAGUUGUUAUAAAAAUGCAGUAUAUCAAACAUGACAUAAAAUAAAUCUGACUUCGUCUUUUAAUGCCUGGCUGCACUGUGGGCAGUUGGUAGGUCCUGGAUUCAAAUCCUGGAAGUCUUUCUGCAUGGAGUUUGCAUGUUCUCCCUGUGCAUGCGUGGGUUCUCUCCGGGUACUCCGACUUCCUCCCACAGUCCGUCUGUCUCGUCUUGCAAUGGACCGGCGACCUGUCCAGGGUGUUGCUUGUUGAUUGCUGGAGAUAGGCACCAGCACCCUUCGCGACCCCACUAGGGGUAAGAGUGUUGAACAAUGCCUUGAAAUGGGGUCUCUGUCUCUUUAAGAAAUUCCUGCUCUUUCCGACAUGCUGCCUUCAGCACAUCAUCACACCAACAUUGCUAUAGCAAACUUCUAACAACGUUUUUUUGUUUGUUUUUUUACCAGGAAAGGGUAACAGGCGUUUCAAUAACUAUGGCUAAUUUAUUAGGGAAGCAUCAAUCACAAGAUAUAAUAAUUCAAGCACUUAUUAAAUAUUUAAAUGACACGAAAUUAGCUGAGAGGAUUUUAGUAUGUAUGUGUGUGUGUGUGUGUGUGUGUGUAUGUAUGUAUACAAUAUAGUUAUUUUAGGGUUUUAAAGGAUAAAUUGCAUUUCUGGAUUACACCUCCGUCCAGUUGAUGGCGGUAAUACUCCAAGCCAGUAAACACCAUAGAAGAAGAAGACGUUUUUACCCGCAUUUCACUGAGAAAAAGAGGCUGCCCCACCAGGUAUUUGCUAAUUGCUGCUGCCAUUUGUGCGCACGUGUCAGUCGAUCUCGCGCGUGUCUGUACGCGUCUAGCUUUUAGCUCUUCAUAUUCUGCAGCUCUGAGGAUGAGCUUCGUGGAAAAGGCAACGCCUUUUGAGACCAUGUUUCUGCAAACACAAUGGCUACCAGGAAAUGACCUGCAUGACUCAGAGAACCCAGAAACACCAGUAAAGCAGGAUCUGUGCAGAUUCGCUAAACAAUCUACAAGGCCAUGGUGACUGACCAGCAGGAAGAGUGGAGGAUUUCGGGUUAAUGAGAGCUGCCGUGUGGGAAGGAGUGAGUCCACAGCAGGAGGGAGACCACUGCGUCACUCAGACAAAGGGAUUUUCCAUGUUUUGAUGUAGGAAUACUCUUUCAAAGCAUCCCUGCGUUGGAAUAAUUGAAGCAACAUCACGCCACCCAAACAGCUUUGUGUUCAAGGUAUUUUUAUUUUUCCUGUCAGGGUUGCCAUAGGUGGAUUCCGACUAUUGUGUAGAUUAGGUGCAAACUAUUUCCGCCCCACCCUGUCAGCGCCAACUCAGAGUUUAACUGAAAGUUUAUAAAAAAAAUAAUAAAAUUGCAUACAUAUUUUUUUUCUAUAUCAUCUUCUCAUUGGGUAGAUUUGGUGAAUAUUUGCUCCUAACUGUUCCUCAAAGCAAACGGAGUGUCCUGUAGUUCAGACUGUUUUUCACUGAGCUUGUAGGGUUGUAGCAUUCAGUUCAUCCUGCUUGAACCAGGGGCCUGCAGCAGGAAAUGGCCGGGGUCCAGCAUGGCUCCGCUUCAGGUCUGUGAGUAAUUUUGUUGUGAUAUGUGCUGAUUUUGGAUCUGAGCUUUAGUCCCCAAGCACACAUAAACAUUUACAGACUGUUUGCUCUAUAGUUGUGAGGACAAUAGACUGAAUUUGCAACCUGUUCUAUGGUCUGAUCAAGUUCAUCUCAUACACUUUUUUAUCAACAAACUUUAAUCUGCGGCCUGAAAAUUAAACUUUACUGACUGCAUGCUG